GAUGAACGUUGGCGGCGUGCCUAAUACAUGCAAGUCGAACGAAGACUGUAGUAAUACUGUCUUAGUGGCGAACGGGUGAGUAACGCGUGGGUGACCUGCCCCGAAGUGUGGGAUAACAGUCCGAAAGGAUUGCUAAUACUGCAUAAUAUCCAAGAGAUUAGAUGCUUUGGAUUAAAGGAGUAAUUCGCUUCGGGAGGGGCCCGCGUCCCAUCAGCUAGUUGGUAAGGUAAUGGCUUACCAAGGCGAUGACGGGUAGGGGACCUGAGAGGGUGGCCCCCCACAAUGGAACUGAAACACGGUCCAUACACCUACGGGUGGCAGCAGUAGGGAAUAUUAGUAAUGGGCGAAAGCCUGAACUAGCAACGCCGCGUGUGCGAAGAAGGCCUUCGGGUCGUAAAGCACUUUUUGAGAGGAUGAGGAAGGACGGUACUCUCAGAAUAAGUCUCGGCGAACUACGUG
rnacentral:rRNA from 1 species